GAGCUUUGCCGGACCCUCACUUGGCGAAUCUGGGCGCCGCCAACCAGCUUGGAGUUCCCGUCGGUGACAAAGCCUGAAGAUGAAAACCAGCCCAGGGCCCUGAGUCCCGGAGGAGAGAGCCGCUUGCUUGGAAUUCCAUGGAGAAGACAGGACAACCCAUGUGAACAGCUCGGCUCAAUGGUUCUUCUGAGAGGGAUGGACGGUUCCCAUCCCACGGAGCCCACGCUCCAGGAAGGGAGGUGUAGGCUUCGAACAACUCUCCGCGUGAUUCAUCCUUUGGCCACAAGCAGGGCCUGGGCCACCUGGCGUCAGCUCGACCCCUGCAGGGUGGGGGCUAAGGUCAGCCCUGUGGGUGAUCAACCACGUCUAUGUGACCAAGCCCCAGUGAAGACUGUGGACACCAAGGCUGGGGGAGCUCCCCUGGCUGGCAGCGAUGAAUGUGCAUUGUCACACAUCAGCGUUGGGAGAAGUUAGUGCUAUCCACAACCCCCCUGGGAAGGACCGCUGGAAGCUCACGCCUGGUCUCUCCUAGCCCCGUUCCCUGCGUCUCUUCCCUUUACUAAUUUUAACCUGCGUUCUGCUGCUGCCGUAAACUCUAACUGUGAUCGCAGUGGCUUUUCUGAGUUCUGUGAGUCCUCCGUGUGAAUCAUGGAAGCUGAGAGUGGUUCGGGGACUGGAGUCACCCUGCCAUUGCUGGCGUGGCGAAGGCUCACGUCCACCAGCCACUGGCCCUGCGAGCCACGACGCUGGGUAUUACCCAAGUCCAUCUUUUGCUCAGCCGGGUGCUGGGGGACGCCCCAGAACAUGAUGCUGGUGAGCAUGGUGCAGAGCAGCAGCGACAGGCAGCAGGACGCCCUCUGCACGCGGGUGAAGUUGCUCCGGGCCGAGCUGCUGAAGACCGAGUACCAGAUGUGUCCCUCCCGGAAGCCCGCGGACGUCUUCAUGAAAAACAGUACCUGAAUUGUUUCCUGUCCUGCUCUGUGGCCACUGGAAAUACUUUGUCGAGGACACAGUCUCCAACAUCAAUGGACAGCCACGAAUUGCAGAGGAAAUACCACUUCUGGUCCAUUGCCAGGUCAUGGACCAGUACCCGGCUCACAUACCUGGAAAAGGGACCCACAGAUUUGAGGAUAAGCCCAGGGCCAGCGUCCAGGCACGAUUGAGCAAAGCCAAGUUGGAUACUGGAGUGCACAAAACAUGGUCCUCGCGCGUGUGUCUAACCGGAGAGCGAGUCCACCAUCGAUCUGGGGCUCAGGACUGCAAGGGCAUCAUCUGACCUGAUUUGGGUCUCGGAGGCCCGGGGAAGAAUGGAAAUCGUCUCGCCUGUCCUGGGAUGUCAGGAAGCGGUACAGCCAGUAAGAAUAGUAAUGGCAGCAAUAGCCACGCUUUAUUGUUUGCUACCUGAUGGGGACGAGGCUAAGAUACCCUUGCCAUGCAUUUUCUCAUCUCAGGGAGCACAGCCCCAUCAAGGAUGCAAAGGUCACCUCUGUUAAGGUCACAUGCUGUCCCGAGGUGGCCACCAUCCAGUGAUGAGGUGCCUGCUAUUAUCGGGACCUGGGCAUUUAUGUCCAACUAGGGACAGUUCCAGAGGUCAGAUGGACUGUCAUUGGGCUGCAUCACGGCCUGACCUCUCCCUCUGCCCACCCUGCCUCCCUCCCUCCCUCCCCAGGUGCCCCUCAAUAAACGCCCUGCCUGCUCAGUUCCAUCUUGGAGUCCACUUGCUAAGAACUGACCUAUGGCUGAGGCACUUAAUGUGUUAACUUUAAUCCCUUGGGUGAACUAAAGACAGCAGCAUAAAUGCUGUGUCUUUCUAAAGCUACCAGCUGCUGAUGGGUGGUCAGACUGGACACCAUUCAUCUGGGUCACUAGUUUUGGCCUCAGACAGAAUAGGGAAGACCUUGCUCUGAACCUGCUAACUGUGUGACGUUGGGCGAGUCACAGGUUGUUGCACAGAAGGGCCAAGAGUGAGGCUGGCACCAGACCCCAGGGCUGCAACUUCCAGUCUUUCUCCUUCUAGUACUGACCCAGUUUGUGUAGACCACGAAAUACAGUGGGCCUCUCUGACCCUCGGUUUCCUCAUCCGUGAAAUGGAGAUCCAUUCUAUGUGUCUUGCAGAGGCUUGUGAGGAUCAGGAAGGCGGCAAAUGUAGAGUGCCCAGCCCUGGGUCCAGUGCUGUGUAGGUCCUGGUGGUUUGCCUGCCCAAGACUACUCACCAGGA